CAAUAAUUUUUUGCCUUCUACCAAAUACAUUAUAUUCUCUAACAAAAAUUGACAUGCACAGUUUUUAGUAGUUGUAACAUUGUCCACACCUCUUUUUCCUCAUUUGCCCCCCUCUAAUACAAAAGUUGGGGUUCAUACUGACUUUAUACUUCUAAAAAAUUGUAAGUUGAUACAGUAAAAUUAGCAAUUCAAAUAUCAACUAUAAAUUCUCUAAUAUUGCUUGAUGAAAGCUAACAUGAAAAUAAUGACUCUUUGAUGUUUUAAUAAUAGAAAAAAAAACAGUAAAAAAUAAAACAAAAUAAUUUUAAGGAACAUCCAACAAUGGGACAACAAAGGAUAACCUCCUUUCACAUUUGCCUUGUUUCUUUUAUGUUCCCAUGAGGAACACGUUGGGGAGAAUGGAUACUAAAACUUCCAGUUUUGGAAUCUGGAAGCUGAACCCAAUUGUGACAUCACUUCUGUUGAAUCGUAAAAGAGAUUGAGACAGCGAGAAGCUUCUGCAUAAGUAACAUAAGAACGCUGAAAUUGUGAAAAAUGCAGAGUUGGGGUCAAAUGAAGCUUCAAUUGUGCUUACAGAGAUGGUGGCAAAUCGCUGGAGAGUCCAAUCUGAGUGGCCCUAUUGUGAAGAUCUCUAUUAGAGGGGUGGAGGCGGAGUUGCUUUGCACCUGACAAAACCUGCAAUUAGGGUAAGGGUUUUAAAAGGGGGUGUGAAGAUGUCCAAGUCAAAUCCUCCCAAACCACCCACAGAUGUUGCAGGUGGUGCUGAGGAGCAAAAAGAGGUUGACAUCAACACCUUAACGUUGAGAUUGGAAGAAGCGGUGGCGAAAACUACUCAAUUUUACUCUAUUUUACUCGGCACAAAUGCGGAGCAGAAAACUGUGCUGGUAGACUCCCGAGACUGCAUUUGCAAGCUUGGAACGGAAUUCUUUAACUUGAAAGAGAAUCUGAAGAAACGGGAAACACAUGCUUUCGCUGUUCAACAGUUGCGAACACAAGACCUCAAGUUGCAGAAGGCUAGAACCCAGGAGCUGGUGGAUCAGCUGACCCAGAAAAACGUUGACAUCGAUGACCUCCACGCGCAUUACAAGCUUCAAGUGCGAAAAGUCAUUGAUGAGGAGAGACUUAAACGAGUGCAAAUGAAGGUGAAGUUUGGAGCUCUAGUGGAGGAGUUAUUCAACCGGCUUGAGGGUGUCAAGACGUUUAUGGCACGCCAGCGCGAGGUGGAGGAGCGCAUGAAAGCUGCUGAGAAAGAAGCAGAGAACUCGCGCGCACAGAUAGCAAACUCAGCACAUGGCUUCGAACAGAAAUGCGUCGAAAAAUGCUUGCAAUACAAAGAGUCAACCGACAAGAAACUGAAAGAAUACAUGAAGAAAGUGAAAGUAGGCAUCGGUUAUCGAAUCGGUGACACAAUGAAGGAAGUUCUUGGGCAGAAUGAGGUACUGUUGGCUGAAAUCCAAAUGCACUCCUCGUCGACAAUGGGAAAGCAAGUGGAGGUAGACCGGCUGAAAGCUGUAAACACUAAACUGAGAUGUGAAAUUGCGUUGAAGAAGGGAGCCGAGGAGCUCAAUGCCAAACGCACUCGAUACCAGAAACAUGUCAUCAAGCAUAACAAUAUCAAGGUAUUCACGUCUACUUGUUGCAAAACAGACCUCGAGCCUUCCCGCAAAGGUCAAUUUAACACCCACGCUAUCUGCUGGAAGCUUGGCAGAUCCAAAACAUGGAAAAAAACCUGAAGACAAUUAUUCGUAAAUUCAGUGAAGAACGAAAAGUCCUACAAGAGAAGAACGCUAACGUCGUAACUGAAGUUAAAGCCGACAGUAUGAAAUUGAAAAGCCUCGUGUUACACAGAGCGAAAGAGCUGAAAAAAUUAAGGCAUCUUUCAGAAAUUGUGCUUCGGCAACGAAGCGAGGUCGAGCUCUUCCUUCUGGACUCCAUCCAACACGUAAAGAACCAAAUCUACUUG